GUCUUGUCUUCGGAGGUAUCAUCACAGAAUGAGGGCGUCAUUGUGUUUGAUGUUGGGUAUUUCGAUGCUUUGUCGAUUCUAGUGAACAUAACAAACAGCGAAAGAAUAUGUUUUUCAUGCAGCAGUAUAAGACAGGAUGAAAAAUGUCAACAUGCUAUCAGUUGUGAUAAGGAUGAGGUAAGUAUUCAUUGGUGUAGCAAGAACAUUGAU